rnacentral:rRNA from 1 species
UACGGAGGGGGCUAGCGUUGUUCGGAAUUACUGGGCGUAAAGCGCACGUAGGCGGAUCGCUAAGUCAGGGGUGAAAUCCCAGGGCUCAACCCUGGAACUGCCUUUGAUACUGACGAUCUGGAGAUCGGGAGAGGUUGGUGGAAUUCCGAGUGUAGAGGUGAAAUUCGUAGAUAUUCGGAGGAACACCAGAAGCGAAGGCGGCCAACUGGCCCGAUACUGACGCUGAGGCGCGAAAGCGUGGGGAGCAAACAGG